rnacentral:rRNA from 1 species
AUUGAACGCUGGCGGCAUGCCUUACACAUGCAAGUCGAACGGCAGCACGGGAGCAAUCCUGGUGGCGAGUGGCGAACGGGUGAGUAAUAUAUCGGAACGUGCCCAGUCGUGGGGAUAACGUAGCGAAAGCUACGCUAAUACCGCAUACGAUCUAUGGAUGAAAGCGGGGGAUCGCAAGACCUCGCGCGAUUGGAGCGGCCGAUAUCAGAUUAGGUAGUUGGUGAGGUAAAGGCUCACCAAGCCGACGAUCUGUAGCUGGUCUGAGAGGACGACCAGCCACACUGGGACUGAGACACGGCCCAGACUCCUACGGGAGGCAGCAGUGGGGGAAUUUUUGGACAAUGGGCGCAAGCCUGAUCCAGCAAUGCCGCGUGCAGGAUGAAGGCCU